rnacentral:rRNA from 2 species
CCUGAACUAGUAAAUAGACUGAAGGAGUGACAGAGGAGGAUAACACUUGCCCCUUAGUGGAUUGGGGUCGAGAAUACGAGUCUGUGGUAUAGGCAAAUCCGUACCACGYGAAGGAUGAGUAUUGACAGGUAAAAGGUGAUGACUUCAAACUCUCUAGAAAAGCUUCUAAGAUUAAUUUAUUUACUACCCGUACCGUAAACCGACACAGGUGGGUGGGUAGAGAAUACUAAGACGCGCGAGAAAACUCUUGUUAAGGAACUCGGCAAAAUGACUCCGUAACUUCGGGAUAAGGAGGACUUUUAAUGAAAAAAGAAAGUCGCAGAGAAUAGACCCAAGCGACUGUUUAUCAAAAACACAGGUCUCUGCAAAACCGUAAGGUGAAGUAUAGGGGCUGACGCCUGCCCGGUGCUGGAAGAUUAUGAGGAGAUGUCAG